CUAGGACCUGGAAGGCGAUCUCGACUAUAACCAAAUGGAGGGCCAAAAACCAUGGUCUCUGUCUGAGAUACCAUAACCCUCAGCCCGUAUUGAACUUCCAAAUUUUGAUAAAGCUCAAGAAUAAGCUAGAAAAUCGAUAGCAUACAAAAGGAAAAAGGUUGCUUCUUCUACCACUCCUCCAAAGGAUGCCCCGAUUAGCCCUUCGCCAAAGGUGAAGAAAGAAUCUUGAAGUAAGAAGGAGAAAUCUGGGGAGGUUGGAGUAGUCCUCUAGUUACCUCCCCCAGUUGUUCAUUCUCGCCUACGGUAUGAAUUUGAGGGUGACUCUACAAUUGUUGUCAUUGUAGCGAUAGAUAAAGGCAAGACUCUAGAGGAGGGACUGACUGUGAUUUAUACCAUUUCAAAUUCGGAAGUAAAGGAUUUACAUGAGUUACUGGCCGGGGACAAUAUCCUUGAAUUGGUCCUUAUUUCGAAUUCCCCCAAGCCAGUGGAGCAAGAGAUUAGGUCUUAUUUGGGUACUAGUCAGACCAUUACUAUCAAGAUACCCGCUGAUGUCAAUUUCCUAUCAUGGCCUAAGAGAUUUCCCCAUGGCUGCACCACAUGAUCUAGCCUCUUGAGAGUGAGCGGAUGAACAAGGUCUCUACGACUGCCCUAGUCAAUUAUGUAAUGACUCCUCCUUCAAGGCCUCGGAUAGGGUCAUGAAGCUAGAGGCUUCAAACUUAGAGUUCUGUGUGACUAAGAAGAUAUGCAAAUCCAAGUGUUGAAAUUAUGCCAAGAAAGCCUCUGAGGAGAGAGUCGAAGCUAUUGUGAAAGAGCUUUACCAAAUGCAAUAGACUCUGGAGUAGAGGGAUAAAGUUUACUCCAUCGAACUCUCUAUUGCUUUGAAGAGGGUUGAAGUACUUGAAGCCCUCAUGAAGCAAAAAUAAGUAUACUAAGCUGAGCUCAUCACCGAACACUCUUGGAUUAGUGCUUAGAAACUUCAGUUGGAAGACCGAUUCAGGAGUUGGAAUCUACUCUUAAAUCUUUGGAGUCUGAGAAGCUAGGCUUCAUUUCAAGCAUACCAGUGCCCUUAGUGACCUCAAGCUUCAGUCAUCUAUUGAAGUUAACUUUGACAAAGUGGCAUUCCAUUUAAAGUCUUUGAAGGAUGCUCAAGCCAGAAUUCCUGAUAUAUCCGAGGGGAUUCAGAAGGUUGAGGCGGUAGUGGAGGAGGCUCGACGUCUGAUGAGUUCAUCUUCCUAUGGAAACUCAUAAGAAUAUUCUUCAGGAGAGGAUGAAUCUCUAGAAGCGCUACAUAAAAGAAUGGCGAAGAAGAGAUUAGCCCUACUCCCUUGUCUGCCAAGUUAGUUAAGCCCAACUGUAGCCUCAUCUUCUUAGAUUGUCACUCCAGUCUCAUCACCUCGGGAGCGAAGUGAUCUUGAAGAU